UUCAAAUAAUCUCAAAAGAAUUUGAUUUGGAUCAUAAGAAAGUGAUUCGAAGUAAGUCAUUUACAGCUGCAAGAAUGUGGUGUUUUAAUUAUUUCUACCUUCGUGUGUUUUAUUUCAUCUUCUAAAAGAAUGUACCUUUGCUAUGCUUUUUGUUUGGUCAUGAUAAGAUCAUUUUUGACUGAGAUGCAGCCUAUCGAAAAUCACAAAAAAAAUCACGAAAUCUGCAAGUGUACCCAAAAAACAGUUGCUCCAAUACAUUAUCCAAGAUUCGUAGGAAACUUUUGCAUAAAUUGACAAUCAAGAGUGAGCGACAUAAGACAUCUGAAUUGUUUGUCCCAUCAUCAUCGGCGCCAUGCAAAUUACUAUAGCUAUUUGUGGGAAGGGAGAGAGGAGGAAGGACAUCUGAGCCAGAGGAAAGGAAGAAAACAUCUUAUCAAGCUUCUUUUAUGGAGCACGACGGCGAUGAAAAAUGAAUAAAAAUCAACCAUUCAAUGGUUAUAAUAUGGUGGAGGAUAUUAUGCAAUAUUGUAAAACCAUUGGAUUUGGAGCAAAAGACAGUGGAAAUCCCUAUAAUGGAGCACUUGGUCUUAUUUCACUUUCCUUCUAUAGUCAACACAAACAACAGGAACUGACAUAAUGGAUGAUAGGUAGAAUUAUGCUGCCAAUUAGUUUUUACAGCUAUAUAACGUAAAAUGCUAAUAAAUAAGAUUCAUUAAU